AGGAAGCUAUGUUAUCUUCCGUUUCCUUGGUGAAAAGGGGGGAUUCAUGAAAUCAUUUGAUGUAAACUUAGAAAAAAAAUAAAAUUUGAAAACAGGGGAUAGCGUGAACCAAAAGGAUGGGAACUCCCUAAUAUAUUUUGGUUUUAAGGACAAAGAGGUGCAGAAUGAUCAGAAGAGGUGAAGAGAGGAUUUUCCCCGAGGCUGUAGAGAGUACUUUUGGUUAAAGGUUGGUCCAGGCAAAGAUCAUCCAUUGAGUUGUUGAAUCUAAUUAGGGAGUAGCGCGAUCAGGGGUCAAAUAUGGAUCAAAAUAAAAGGGUGAGGUUCCAAAGAGGUUUAAGUCUCUGCUUUAAAUCAUCUACUAGUAGUUGACCCUAAAAGAUCUUUGGUCAAAGUUCUACUGAUUACUUAGUAUAUACUUCCUAAGAGAAUAAUUAUAUUUUCACUCUCUUCCAUAUCUUAGUGUUAUUACAAUAGCACCAUAUAUUGUGGAUACACUAAGCUGCACCAUAAUCCAUCCGCUACAAGUUUCGAGUCGGUAGCCUUCUUCAAGCAGGAUCGAUAGUUCUUCGUGUUAGGAAGAACUUUGGGGAAGUGUAAAUACUUCACGAUUGGGUGGUAAAGAACUCUAACGAUGUUAUCACCCAUGAUGUAAGCAUGGGACAUAAAUUUUGGGAGUCCCUGUUAGGAUGAUAUUAAGUUUUGUAUGGUAUAUUCAUUGUAAUUCGAUCUUAAGGUUUUUAAUAAACAAGGUAAUUCUUUAUGAUUUGUAA